rnacentral:rRNA from 1 species
UACGGAGGGUGCAAGCGUUAUCCGGAUUCACUGGGUUUAAAGGGUGCGUAGGUGGGUUGGUAAGUCAGUGGUGAAAUCUCCAGGCUUAACUUGGAAACUGCCAUUGAUACUAUCAAUCUUGAAUACCGUGGAGGUCAGCGGAAUAUGUCAUGUAGCGGUGAAAUGCUUAGAUACGACAUAGAACACCAAUUGCGAAGGCAGCUGGCUACACGAAUAUUGACACUGAUGCACGAAAGCGUGGGGAUCAAACAGG